rnacentral:rRNA from 1 species
CCUACGGGAGGCUGCAGUGGGGAAUAUUGGGCAAUGGGCGCAAGCCUGACCCAGCAACGCCGCGUGAAGGAAGAAGGCUUUCGGGUUGUAAACUUCUUUUCUGAGGGACGAAGAAAGUGACGGUACCUCAGGAAUAAGCCACGGCUAACUACGUGCCAGCAGCCGCGGUAAUACGUAGGUGGCAAGCGUUAUCCGGAUUUAUUGGGGGUAAAGGGCGUGUAGGCUGGAAAGCAAGUCAGAUGUUAAAACUCAGGGCUCAACCCUUAGCCUGCAUUUGAAACUGUUUUUCUUGAGUGCUGGAGAGGCAAUCGGAAUUCCGUGUGUAGAGGUGAAAUGCGGAGAUAUACGGAGGAACAGCAGUGGAGAAGGCGGAUUGCUGGACAGUAACUGACGCUGAGGCGUGAAAGCGUGGGGAGCAAACAGGAGUAGAUACCCCAGUAGUC